AAGAUAGGUACCCCAAAUAUCUAAAACUAUGUCUUUUGAUAAGGAGUGUGAGUUUCUCGGUACCUUAUUCUCUCUUUAUUUUGUGAGGCCUUCAUAGCUAACAUGUUCAAAGAGGGACAUUUCAUGAUCAUCCCCCAUUGACAACCAUGGUUACUUUGUAUCAUCCCUAACUUCCGUCGCUCUUGGGUUGUGGAGUAGAAAUUACAUGAAAUGAUUAAUCAAAGGGGAAAGUGGUAUAAUAGCUUUAUCUGUCGAAGAGCUAAAGAUAAGUGGAUUUGAUAAAAACAGUCAAUGUUAUACGUUUGAAUAGUUAACUGGCUGGUAUCGUGACUUCUGGAACAAUCCUGGAGAAUUCAAAAAAGUGUUAUGGCUUAAUUCAGUAGGUCUAAAUAGGGUGAAAUUGGUGUUUUGAUAGAGGGGAAUUGUAAAUGUUUAACUUGCACCCACCAUGUGUUUGACAUAAUGCCAACAAGAAGAAUGAGGCAUGCAUUUUGGAGACCUUAUAGGGGUAUUUUUGUCUUUCAUUUUUAUUUCUUUCAAUGUUUAUCAGAAGUCAUUUUCUUCUGUUGUUGCUGCUAUCAUUCAUAAAAAUGCAAAUAAUAUUGGAGUACAUGGAUCAAGAACUCAAAAGCUACAUAGAAAAAACAAAGCAACCAUUUAGUCAAAGUGAAGUUGAAUGUUAAUGAUCUAACUUCUUCAAGGAUUAUAUUUUCUUCAUGAAAAUUGGAUGAUUCGUAGUGAUUUGAAGACUUCAAACUUGCUUUUGGACAAUAAUGGUGAUUUAAAGAUUUGUAUUUUGGUAUGUCACGACAAUACGGGAGUCCAGUGAAGCCGUAUUUUGAUGGGAACAGAAGAGCAGAUUGAUCAGAUUUUUAAGACACUUGGGAUAUAGAAUGAGAAGAUAUGGCCUAGUUAUUCAAAGUUGUCGGGAGGUAAAACUGUCUUUUGCGAAGUAGAAUUGUAAUAAUGCAUUUUUACUCGUUGCCUACUUUUUUCUCUAAUUCAUGUCUUCUACCAUUAUAAAUAAGGUUGCUAUGACUUAUGAUUUUGAAGAAAAAGUUUUUAUUCAGUAAGUGUUGUAUUAUUUUUGAUGAUAGGAUGGGAAAGGAUACUGAUCAACUUUACAAAAAUGAAAGUCAAAAGGAUGAUAUCGAGUUGCCAUUUCUUAAUCUAUCAAAAAUAGCGAAAGCUACACAUAAUAUUUCAUUUGAUAAUAAGCUUGGAGAAGGCCUAUGAACCAGUUUACAAGGGUGAGUGCAUCUGUCAUGGCUCUUCCAUCCAAUAAUGAUGUUGUGGACACUUCCAACACAAAAAAGAAGUCUAGUUGUUCCAUGAUUUGGAAAUCAUUUUUGCAUAAUGAAGGACAUAAUGACAUAUUAGGAGCCCAAAAGAUUUGAGAUCAAAUGGUCUUAACAAAAAAAACUCUAGAAUUGUAGAUGCGAUUGUUUUAUGAUAGUGUACUUACCCUUUUUUUUCAAAAUGAGAAAUGUACUUAUACUUAUCAUUUUUAAUCAAAAAUAGCAAUUGAGAUUCUUCGCUUUUGGUCGUAUUGUUUAAGUGAGUUGAACUUCCAUAUCCUUAAGUUCUUGAGGAUUACCAUCUUUGGGACAGGGGCAAAAUCGUCCCAUAAUUUUAAAAACCAUCAAACUUAUGCGUAGAUUAACACAACAUUAACCAAAAUGACAGCCUACUUUCAUUUUUAACAUAGAAUUGCAGAAAAGUUUCGUUUUGAACCCAAAAUGACAGCUUUAUUUCAUUUUCACCCAAAAUUGCAGAAAAGUUUUGUUUUGAACCCAAAAUGACAACCUACUUUCAUUUUUAACCCCAAAUAUCCUCAUACUUUUGUUUUUUUUCACAAAAUACCCUCAUACCUCCAUUUUUUUCACAAAAAUACCAUCAUACUUCCGUUUUUUUCACAAAAUACCAUCAUAUUUCCGCUUUUUUCAUAAAAUACCCUCAUAAUUUCGUUUUUUCACAAAAUACCAUCAUAUUCCGUUUUUUUCACAAAAUACCAUCACACUUCCGUUUUUUUUUCAUAAAAUACCCUCAU